rnacentral:rRNA from 1 species
AAACCAACAGGGAUUGCCCCAGUAACGGCGAGUGAAGCGGCAACAGCUCAGAUUUGAAAUCCGGCCUCGGCCCGAGUUGUAAUCUGUAGGGGAUGUCCCUGGCGCGGCGCCUACCGAGUUCCCUGGAACGGGACGCCAUAGAGGGUGAGAGCCCCGUAUGGUGGGAUGCCUAGCCUUUGUGGGACUCCUCCGACGAGUCGAGUAGUUUGGGAAUGCUGCUCAAAUUGGGAGGUAAAUCUCUUCUAAAGCUAAAUACCGGCCAGAGACCGAUAGCGCACAAGUAGAGUGAUCGAAAGAUGAAAAGCACCUUGGAAAGGGGGUUAAACAGCACGUGAAAUUGUUGAAAGGGAAGCGCCCAUGACCAGACUCGCGCCGGGCGGAUCAUCCAGCGUUCUCGCUGGUGCACUCCGCCCGGUACGGGCCAGCAUCGGUUUUCGCGGGGGGAUAAGAGCGGCGGGAACGUGGCCCCUCCGGGGGUGUUAUAGCCCGCCGCACGAUGCCCUCUUGGAGACCGAGGUACGCGCUCUGCAAGGAUGCUGGCAUAAUGGUCAUCGGCGAC